UUGCAUCUAGCUGCAUCAGACAAUGUUGAGUCUCCUGUGCUGGACAGCAGCAGCACGGGAAAGAGUUGAAGGCAGAUGAUCAAGUGAUCAAAACGGUGAUCGAAAACAACAGCAGAGACUCAGGUUCUUACCCCGCAGAAGACGACAACGGUAAACCACUUCUGUGUUAUGCCAAGAAAAGCCUAUGGAUGAAGUCCAUCAAGUCUCUCUGAAUCGGAAACGACUCGACGGCACUGGAUGACGACCCGGCUCCUUAGUCCGAUGCUUGGCGCACAGACAGCGCCUAACAAUGCCACAAGUGUUAUUGUGAUUCCCAAACAAUUCCGACACGGAAUGGGAGUCUUUUCCUCGCCCGUUCUGAGCUGGAAAGGAAAAGUGCAAGGUCACGGCUUCCCUGACGACGGGCUGUUACGGGAACAGCUCGGGAGCCAUUUCAGAAAGCUCUGGCUCCCCGCUUUCCCUCAAAGGAUCGAACCAGCGGAGGCCACGAAAUUAGAUUUGUUCUCGGGAGGGAUAAAGAGACAUUUCAAAGGACUGCCCGGGCAUUAAUCCUGAGUGUUGGCACUGCCAACUCAAAGAAACAGCCUCUGGCACUCAUGGACAUCCAGGCGAUCCAUCAAUCGAAGCUUCCUCUGUUCGGAAUGUGGAAGAAUGAAUCCGACGACGUCUGUAAAGCGCCGUGAACUCGGAAGAGAUACUACGUAAAUCUGCAGGAUAAAAGUUAACGCUGGAGACACUUUCUCCCCCUUCUCCUCCUCCAAAAGAUCACCGUAUUACAGUUUAACGUUUCGGAGUUCAUCCUGUCCGUGAAAAA